UACGUAGGCAGCGAGCGUUGUUCGGAGUUACUGGGCGUAAAGGGUGUGUAGGCGGUUGUUUAAGUUUGGUGUGAAAUCUCCCCGGCUCAACUGGGAGGGUGCGCCGAAUACUGAAUGACUAGAGUGCGGGAGAGGAAAGUGGAAUUCCUGGUGUAGCGGUGAAAUGCGUAGAUAUCAGGAGGAACACCGGUGGUGUAGACGGCUUUCUGGCUCAUUACUGACGUUCAGGUACGAAAGCGUGGGUAGCAAACAGG
rnacentral:rRNA from 1 species